CGUUUUUCCAAAACGAAGGUCUAUAUUAUCAAAUGACUCUUUAAACUCACGAGGAAAAAUAUUUAGCUAAAACCAGAAAUUUUCAUUGUCAACCUGUAGUUUCUUAGAUAGGAGAGAUGCCCAGAGCCUCUGAGGAUCAUUGGCACAUUUAAGUCAAAAGAAAACUAGCAAGAGGUGUGCCCUUCAGACUGAAAACAUAAUUUCCAGUUUCUAACUGCAGUUGCGAGACACUAUAUAGCUUCCAGAAGAUUCUGAGGGGGAGAGGGAGGCUACAGUGAUGUUCUCUGCAAGCUUCUCGAAGAUGCG
rnacentral:lncRNA from 1 species